ACCUUUUCCCUUCAGUUCCCAGGCCAGAGUCUGCCUGAGGGUCCGGUCUCAGCAAUUCUGCAACAAACAGCAGGGUCUGGGAUAUCGGAGAGCGAGAACCUGUCAUCCCUGGCCUCUGUGCAAACCAGGGACCCCAGAACUGGCUCUUCCACAAUGCCCAGUGGUCUAUGGUGCCCAAGAGUUGGAGCCCGACUCUGGCAGUUCUGAAGGGACUCCAGACUGUGCCCUUUCCUCACCCAAGGAGUGGGAUCCCGCAGCUUCCCACAGUUCAAUGGCUGCCCAGCAGUUCCGUAGGGUCUGAGCACAGUCAGACUUCCUGAGACAGACUCCCCAUGUCCACCUUGCCCAGCGGCCCUAGCCCAGAGCAGACGUUGGACCCCCCCCCCAUUUUUUUUUGACCUGCAGGAUUCCACUGAUGGAUUGUUUCCUAUGUUGAACCAUGCCUGAAUCCCUGGAUGAAGCUUACUUUAUCAGGUGGAUGAUGAUUUUGAUGUUAUUUGAUUUGAUUGGACAUGGACCACAGCCUAUCUGGAUCCUAAUGUGGCUCACCAUACCCUGGACAGCUAAUACCAGCAAUGAAGCAAAAAAGUUGAGCAGAUGACAGAGAAGAUAGCAAGACCUUCUUCUGUUGGCUUAGAGCCUGACUCCAAAUAAUUCCUGUGCUGAAAAAUAUCAGGCACUGGUACAUAACCCUCUCUUGAUAUUAGGGAAGAAGGACAGAGGACUUUGUCCUCAGCUGUUUACAAACUCCAACCAAUUUUCUGAUAUAGGUCCCAUAAGAGAAGUUUCUAAAAUUUGGAAUAGCACCAUUCCCAUGACUAGAUACCCUCUUUGCUUUCAUAACCAUUACAAUCUACUUUCCUAUUCUACUAUCUUUUCACUUAUAAUAUAUUGGUUGGCAUAGUCUACUUAUUGAUCAGAAGACUCUGCUCUCCAGAAAGAAAAUUAUAUAGAGGCAAGAUCUAUAUGAGAAAACGCUGGCUUGACCUGGCAUUCAGCCUACCUAGCACACGGAAUAUACAAUUUUAAAUUAGAAGCAUGGCAUACAAUGCUCCUGAGUAUUCACAGAAGUCAGAAUACUGAAUUCUGAGAUAGCAUGAGAAGCCUGGAUCUAGCCUGCUGAUAUGUCUACAAUCUCCACAUCUCCUUUUAUGUGCUUCUUCAUAGAGACACAUGUGGUAUUAGUGCUCACUGUCCAAUCUGAGAUAAUGUGCUAACUUAUCACAAUUGAUAGGUUCCCUAUAAAUAAAAUAGUUGCUUAUAGAAGUAAAACAGACACAGUUAUGUAAAA
rnacentral:lncRNA from 1 species